ACUCCUGCGGGAGGCAGCAGUGGGGAAUAUUGCACAAUGGGCGCAAGCCUGAUGCAGCCAUGCCGCGUGUAUGAAGAAGGCCUUCGGGUUGUAAAGUACUUUCAGCGGGGAGGAAGGCAAUACGGUUAAUAACCGUGUUGAUUGACGUUACCCGCAGAAGAAGCACCGGCUAACUCCGUGCCAGCAGCCGCGGUAAUACGGAGGGUGCAAGCGUUAAUCGGAAUUACUGGGCGUAAAGCGCACGCAGGCGGUCUGUCAAGUCGGAUGUGAAAUCCCCGGGCUCAACCUGGGAACUGCAUUCGAAACUGGCAGGCUUGAGUCUUGUAGAGGGGGGUAGAAUUCCAGGUGGAGCGGUGAAAUGCGUAGAGAUCUGGAGGAAUACCGGUGGCGAAGGCGGCCCCCUGGACAAAGACUGACGCUCAGGUGCGAAAGCGUGGGGAGCAAACAGGAUUAGAAACCCUAGUAGUCCC
rnacentral:rRNA from 1 species